AGUGAACGCUGGCGGUAGGCCUAACACAUGCAAGUCGAACGGCAGCACAGUAAGAGCUUGCUCUUACGGGUGGCGAGUGGCGGACGGGUGAGGAAUACAUCGGCAUCUACUUUUUCGUGGGGGAUAACGUAGGGAAACUUACGCUAAUACCGCAUACGAUCUACGGCUGAAAGCAGGGGAUCUUCGGACCUUGCGCGUUUGAAUGAGCCGAUGUCGGAUUAGCUAGUUGGCGGGGUAAAGGCCCACCAAGGCGACGAUGCGUAGCUGGUCUGAGAGGAUGAUCAGCCACACUGGAACUGAGACACGGUCCAGACUCCUACGGGAGGCAGCAGUGGGGAAUAUUGGACAAUGGGCGCAAGCCUGAUCCAGCCAUACCGCGUGGGUGAAGAAGGCCUUCGGGUUGUAAAGCCCUUUUGUUGGGAAAGAAAAGCAGCAGGUUAAUACCCCGCUGUUCUGACGGUACCCAAAGAAUAAGCACCGGCUAACUUCGUG
rnacentral:rRNA from 1 species